rnacentral:rRNA from 1 species
ACGGAGGAUCCAAGCGUUAUCCGGAUUUAUUGGGUUUAAAGGGAGCGUAGGUGGACGUAUAAGUCAGUUGUGAAAGUUUGCGGCUCAACCGUAAAAUUGCAGUUGAUACUGUAUGUCUUGAGUGUACAAGAGGUGGGCGGAAUUCGUGGUGUAGCGGUGAAAUGCUUAGAUAUCACGAGGAUCUCCGAUUGCGAAGGCAGCUCACUGGGGUACAACUGACACUGAGGCUCGAAAGUGUGGGUAUCAAACAG